CCCUUAGAUGUUCUGGGCCGCACGCGCGCUACACUGACGAAUGCAACGAGCUUAUAACCUUGGCCGAAAGGUCUGGGUAAUCUCCAAAUUUCGUCGUGAUGGGGAUAGAUUAUUGCAAUUAUUAAUCUUCAACGAGGAAUGCCUAGUAAGCGCAAGUCAUCAGCUUGCGUUGAUUACGUCCCUGCCCUUUGUACACACCGCCCGUCGCUCCUACCGAUUGAAUGGUCCGGUGAAGCGUUCGGACCGUGGCCUUUGGACGGUUCGCCGUCUGUUGGCUGCGGGAAGUUCGUUAAACCAUAUCAUUUAGAGGAAGGAGAAGUCGUAACA
rnacentral:rRNA from 1 species